UUUUCGCAAAAAGGGUUUUUGGGAGGAUCAAAGCAUUACGUGUCACCCCAUAAUUAAAAUCCUUACCACAUUUCUCUAGCCACCUCAUAAUCUCUCUCUUCCGUCUCAAACCCUAGACGACCUUUCUCUUCUCUCUCUGUAACCCGAACAACAAACGGCGCCACAAAAGAUCCUUCCCUCACUGAUUCUGCACCGACAUCGGGUGUCGAUACAGUAAUUCUGAACUCGUAACGACCGGCGAAACAGUGAAAAAGAAGAGAAAGGUUUUGUUUAGAUAGAAAAUACAGAGGGUGGCAUAGAUCGGUUCUCCAACCUUCUGAAGGACAAUAUGAUGACCCAAUCAUCAUUAGAGGCAUUCGAUAACUUGGAUGCGAGGGAGUCUUAUCAUUGAACUGAAGGCAAUUCUGAAUAGUAUGUUGGAGUAUCAAAGGUUGUCUUUUCAAUUCAUGUCCACACAGUUCGGUGCAUAUCGACCCUUGUUUUGCAGCAGCAACAACUUUAUAGACCCUUUGGCAGCCAUUUAAAUACUUUGCAGCCACUGAUGCUUGGCCUGUUUGCUCCAAACUCACCAUUUCAAACUCAUCCACCAACAUUUUGAUGAUUAAUCUUUUAUUAUUACAAGAAUGUAUUUCAAAUAUUGAUGUCUAGAUACUAUGUUAUUUGGUACUUAUUUGAGUACAAUUGAUGUAAAUGCGAUUUGUACAUUGUUUUUUUAAGUAAUGGUCAUUAAAAUUUAGCUUC